UUCAAAUUUAACAUUUCAACAUCCCGCGUUCAGCAGCUUGUGCAAUUUCACUUCCCUCUUAAUUUUGGACCUCCCUCCAAGUCCCCCAUUUUAGCUUAGCUAUCAGUUUCAUUUCUUUUCUCUUCCCAUCACCACAGUCCUCCACUUACUUGCCGAUCUCCAUCAGCCAUGGCAUAUCGCUUUUAUAAUUUGGUCUGGGUUAUCAUUUCAUCGCACUCCAAUACUCUCCGCCCACUGCCUUUGCUGCAGUGCUGCACCACCACAUCUUCCAAAACCAGUGCACAAUCGCCACCCUCUUCAAAACCACCCACAGUCUAAGCAAAGCAAAUUCGCUCAGCACGAAUGGAUCUGAGGAUGAACACGCACCAACUUUUCAAGACGCGAGCUUUAAUUUUUAAGCAAAUCUAGUUGAUGCUGAUUUGCCUUUUGAGAAUUGCUUAGCUUGGAAUGUGGUUUGAGGUUAUUGGUUCAGCUAGACCUUGGGUGAUUACGGGGUGAAAGCUUUGAUCGAUUUUGAGUCCUUGAUCUUACUCUGAAGAAGAAGAAGAAUCGCCCAGACACUGAGAAGGUUUUGAGGUGACUGGUUUGAGGAAGAAGCUAUCUUCACUGUUGUGACUGCAGGUGCUAAAUAAGACAACUGGUACUUUCAGCAAAUCUCCCUCCUGUUUCUUCAAUACUGCUUCUAAGGUUGCUUUGGAGUGUUAAUCUUUCUUGGUGUUUUGAUCGGUAUUCCUUUUUGCCCAAAUUUGCUUAUUAUGUCUGAAAAUGGUUGUGGCUAUUGAUGUUAAGGUUUGUAAUUUCUUGCAGAAAGUUACAAACCCAUGUUUAGUUUUUGACUUUGGAAUUAGUUUGUAUAGUAUUUCCACUUUGAAUAUUGUUUUGACUGUGAAUAUUAACCGAUAGCGCAUUGUGAUCAUGGUCUAAUUGCUUUAGUUGUAAAAAACUUUGUCUUUGACAAGUGACAACUGAUUUAUGCAAAAUAAUUGAAAUAAAACUGAAUUGAUUGAUAUAUGCGCAUUUUCUUGUUAUCGUUGAUAUAGAUGGACACAUUCUCAUUAUCAACAUGCUCUUUUCAUACAGGUGAGAUUUGUAUGCUCAGAGCUGAGAGCUAUGAUUAGUUCAAUUACAUAGAUAUCCACCUGCAAGUAUGCAGUUGCAAUUAAAUGCCCCACACUUUGCAAGCAUCCAUUAUUCCAGUCAGAGAGACCGGUAUGGCAGACCAUUAAUUGUAAUGUACUUCCCAAGGAUUACAAGGAAACCCAAGUUGAGGAUGAAGAAUCUAAAAUUAAGCAGAUAGUUAUGGUCAUAGACAGUGAAUCUCAUUCCAAUGAUGAAUCUGAGAAAUAACAUUUUAUAAAUUCAGAAAAUUUUGUGAAUGCUAAUGAUAGGCAACCUCAUGUAAUCUUGUAUUCUUUUGCACCUUUCACAAGUCAUUGACUGUC